rnacentral:RNase_P_RNA from 2 species
ACAGCACCAAUUCCUACGAGUAAACCUGCCUACACAAGGAAUCGUUAAGUCCGGUUCAUAUUUACUGCAGGUGGGAAAUUCGGUGGAACACUGUGGGACACUAUGCCGACCCGCUGACUUUUCGGUCAACGGGCCGUUUCCGUGAGGAAAGUCUGGGGAACUAGGCUUGCAGCUGCUGUCACAAGAAAUCAACGCUCACAGUAGCGGAUGGGAAGACAGCAGAGUUCCAUUUAGCUUGAACACAACGUUGAUUGUUUAAGGCUUGUUGAGUGCAAUCGUAGGACAAGAACCCGAUACCGAUUACUGGUGUUGU